AGGCAGCAAUACUCUGGACAGGCUCCAAGGAGAAGUACCAUGUUUGGAUGUCGUAUGCAGCAUAACACUUCAACCUGUAUGAGUUGCCAAAUACAUGUGGUGAGUAAAUUUUAGUAAGCAUUUCAGCAAGGCCCUACUGACAUGAUUUGGCAGAUUCUUACUAAAUAGAAUAUUAGAAUAGAGUAGCCGAUACGUAGUUUAAGAUUUUGUUAGAUGUGUAUAUUGGCAAAAGGAAGUAUGCAUAUGUUUACUUGGAGAUGUGCACAGAUGAUUGCUAUUUACGAUUUAAUGCAUUUGUGUAACUUGAUUUGUGCUUAGAAUUGCAUGCUCACCUCUUGCUGAAACUGUAAUUGUCCUUGGGCUGCAUCUGGACGUAGUACUUUUAUGGCAACAGGUGUGUGGUCCAGGUUGCAGUGGUACACUGGCCCAUAACCUCCUUCUCCUAUUUUGCGAGAUGGCGAGAAGAGAUCUGUUGCUGUUUCAAUCUCUUGAAUUGUAUAUUUCCUAUACCUGAGAUCAUGCCCAAAAUUAUUUAUAGCCAAUUUCCUAUCAUCAGCUUCUUUAUUGGCAUUCUUUUCUACAAUCUUUCUCUUUUGUGCUUCAAGUUCAGCAAUCAGUUGAGCUGCUUGGGCUGCCUCAAUGGCCACCUGACACUUUGCUUUCUCCUUUUCUGCAAGUGAAAGUGCAGCUUCCUCAGCCAGUCGUGCCUCUUCUAUUUUUUGUUCUUCUUGUAAUUUCCAGCUUUGAAGUUCUUUUGCCUGUAAUCAGAAUUUUAAUAAAAUUAUCGUAUACCACAUUCUAAACUUUUUAGAUUAUGCGCAGAAAUAAUUUCAGCUUUUAGAUAUUAAAGUACCCUCUGUUUUGCUGAGAGUGCUUCCUUGCAGGCUGCACUAUACAUCUCCAUUGUCUGCUUGAGCUCCUGUUUGAGUCUUCUCAUCUCAGCUUCCACAUCAUCCUGUGGCAUCUGAAUGGUUAAGUUCCAUUCUUAAACAUGUAUAUUCUAUUCUCUUAGCUGUUUUGUAUAGUAGUUAAUUAUGCUCAUUUUCAUGGCAGAAAAGUAUUGCCUUACCAUAUUCUGAGAUGACCAUGAUGUCCUACCACUUUCAUGUGAUGUUGAGGAGCUCUCAUACUGUGAACUGAAAUCAAUGGACCU
rnacentral:lncRNA from 1 species